rnacentral:rRNA from 1 species
CAAUAGCGUAUACUAAUGUUGUUGCAGUUAAAAUGCUCGUAGUUGAACUUCUGGUAGGAGUGUCCCGGCCUUUUUGUUUUUACAAAUUGUAUGCUGUGUGACAUCUCUGGCCAUCCUUCUUCUUUGUUUAAAGAAGAUCUUUCACUGUAAAAAAAUUAGGGUGUUCAAAGCAAAAGUUUCUUUGGAAUAUAUUAGUAUGGGAUGAUAAGAUAGGCUCUAGAUGCUAUUUUGUUGGUUUGCACAUUUAGAGAAUGAUUAACAGGGACAGUUGGGGGUAUUCGUAUUUACAUGUCAGAGGUGAAAUUCUUGGAUUUUGGAAAGACGAACUACUGCGAAAGCAUUUACCAAGGAUGUUUUCAUUAA